rnacentral:lncRNA from 1 species
GGUGCCUGCACCUUCUCCAGCAGCCAGCAUUGCUAGUCUUACGGAUUUUAGCCUUUUUAGUAGAUAUAUAGUCAGAUUGCUUAUUUUAAUCUGGAAGUCGUUUCUGCCAAAUGGUGCGGGCCGCCUGUUUGGUGAGGUAUACACUCAAACCUUUUUGCCUGGGUUUUGUUUAGUUUUUGUUUUGUUUUAAUUGGGUUGUUUGCUAUUUUAGGCAGUGUAAUUUGUAUGUGUUACAUGUAUUCUUUUGUGUACAUCAGUUCUUUAGUUGAAUUGUUAAAGUAAGAGAGCAUUUGAAAAACGGGCUUUCUAUUGCAGAUAUAAAGGUUUAUUUUGAUUUUUUAAACUUAAAGCUUUACAAGUUGGUAAGUUAGUACUCCACUAUAAUACCACCAGUUGCAAAGCAGAGACAAAAAAACCCCAAAAUGUUAUGGCCAGUCUAGACUAUGUUGCAAGAUUCUGUCUCAAGUAAAAAACAAACACAAACGAAAGUAAUAAUAAUUCAGACUUCAAUCUCUAACUUACUUAGUCUUGUGACUUUGAGGGUGGUAUAUAAUCAAAGAGGACUCAUUUUCUUCAUUCUUAAAAUAAAAAUAAAUAAAUAAAUAAAUAAAUAAAUAAAAUAGAAUAACACAAACCUCAUUUCUGUGUGUAUAUGUGUGUAAAUUUAGUGAAAAUAACACAAUUAACUAGAGGUCCUGCAAAUUCUAGACAGUUCACGGUGUAUGACUUAGGAAUUCUCAAUAAACAUGGUGACAGACACUUGCAUCGAGGGAGAGUCAGGUGCCUGCUUUGUGUCUGGCAUUGGGAUACACCCAUGAGUCUCUGUCAUGGGUUUUGUAGAAGUCAGGUAAAGAGAAUUACAGUGCUACGUUCAGAAUUUUAAAAGCUCUCCUGAAGGAAGACCUCAGAGUUGUCUCAGUGGUUGGUUUGUGAGUUGGAGAAGAUGGAGAAGGUAGUUAAGCUGAGUAGCCUUCUUUGAUUGGGGAAUAAUAAAGAACUGACUUAUUAUCUCCAAGAAAAUCAAGCUUUAAAUAUACCUGGUAUCUCGAGCCAAAUUUUCGUUUUACACAACUCCAAACUCAUAAGGGCUGAAACUCAAGCACAAAUAACUGGAGAGAAAACUAGCCAAUUAAAUCACACAGGAAACCUCGAGAUUGAUUUCCUGUUCUCAUUAGCCACCCACAAUUCUCAUAGUUACCGCUGAGUAUUUUAAGAGACAGCACUGGAUCCUCUCUUGACUUGAAGGUGGAGUGCACAGCCUUGAUCCAUGGUAUGAUUGGCUCAAGAGCAAAGAGAACUGCACAAUCUCUUCUCCAAGUCUAAGUUAAACAGAGCCGAGCCCUAAUUCCCCUGUGGAUUUAUAAGGAAGAGUUAAAUCCCUCCCAGUGUAAUGUAGCACCCGAUCGAAGUAAACAGACUAUGAUUUCAGCGCUAGACACAGCCUUAAGGCACAAGAAAUCACACUGUCACGGAGAGGAUAUGUGGCUGCUGCUAUUUUGGUGCUUGCGCUCUUUGUUAUCACAUAGUUGAAGGCUAUCCAGAGGAGGAAGAGUGUUAACCAGUGCAAGGAGAGAAUUCCCCGCUCUGGGCUAGUGGAAUGGAUGAGAGAGAAAAUUGUAGUGCCCUGGAACACAUAAAUAAGGGCUUUGUUCAAUACGCUGGCCUCACCGCUUCUGUGCACUCUUAUUGGAAACAAGUUCUUCAGAAGAACAAAUGCAGGAUAAAACUUAAAACUCCAUCUUUUAAAAUGGUUAAUUUUAUCCAUGAUUGCUAUAAUUUAAUUUUAGUAGCUUCCGGUUACAAAACAUUAAACUCAGAAAUAUAAAAAUAUAUGUAUAUAUUUAUAGUCAUGUAUAUGACUAUAUAUUUAUAUAUUUAGUCAUAUAUGGUACAUGUAUAUAUGUUUAUAGUCAUAAAUGACUAUAUAUAGUUAUAGUCAUAACUAUAUAUAUGGAUAUUUAGUCAUAUAUAUGACUAUAUAAAUAUUUAUAGUCAUAAAUAUAUAUACAUAUAUGUUUAUAGUCCUAUAUAUAGAUGAAUAUAUAUUUUUAGGUUUACAUUUAUAGUCAUACACACAUAUUCAGUUCAAAUAUGUGACCCAGAAUAUACAGCAGAAAUGACUAGACUACAAAAAGCUUUCCUAUUUUCGCCAGUUUGUGGAAUUUGCUAGUUGUUUUAGUAUGUUUGUUCUCAUUAUACAUCUCAAGACUGGAAAACAACAGGAAGAGCGUUGGGCCCACUGAGCCUGCUAUAGGACUCUAUGAAUUAUGAUGCCUUUGAGUACCUAUCCUCCAGAGACUCCUAGUCAGCCAUAUGGUUUGGGUCAACUAAUAUUGAUCUCAUUUUAGUGACCGUGGCCAGCAAUUCUCCAAAACAAGUUUCAUUUUCCUCCACUGGAUAGCCACCUUUAUAAUCAAUUAACAGCCCUCUUGGGGAAGACUAGGUGAAAGAUCUAGUAUGUGAUAAAAAUCAGAAUGUGAUCAAUGGCAAUUGGGUAUGGAAUGCCAUUAAACGAAGUAGGAGACAAACCCAGAAGCAGCUAAAAGCCGGGGUCUGAACUUGUAGAGAAAGAUGUCGGAAAACUUUGGAGAUUAUUCCAGCAUCACGUGGAAAACAACAGAAUAUAACGUUAACGUGUCUUACCAUCAUAUAAUAAGAAGUAAGAUGCACAUAAAUAAGACAUACAAGCUCCCAUGCAGUAGUGAACUGACUGAAGAUCACUCAACUCGACAUGUGAUGGAUCUAUGCCAUCGCUAUAGAUGUCACUCAAGGAAGACUGUAUACCAACGUGGAGCUUUUGCUUGCUCUCCUACUGAUGAGGCUGAGCAGGUAUUUCCAUCCCAUGGACUCUUCUGAGAACCUCAUGCAGUCAUUCUGCUGUGCCCCCUGCCUGCAGUUUCUCCUGAUCCCACUGUGCCAUCAUUGAGUAUCCUGCAUUCUGACCACAGAUGGUCAACCUCCUUUCUUGAUAUUUGUACAAAGUCUUAGAGUGGUGUCUUCCAUUCUAAAAGCUGUUGCUUUGGCUCCUUUCAGCCCUACGGCCACCAUGACGGGUCAGACAUGACAUAGGUAGUAAGGAGGAAGGCAGCCAAUACGGGGCGGAGGGUGGGGUAGGCUACCAAGCUAUUAACUAAGGUGGCCACACUGAGGUCAUCUCAGUCUACACCUCUCUCCUGGUUUUCUCUAUUAGUAUAAACUAAGCAUUCUGCAUCAUUUCUGAGCCCCCCAGCAGAACCACUCCUGGCUAGUUCUGUUAAACAUAGGCUCCUGAUACCAGUGUGGUGUGUUCAUAUAACCCUGAAUCUUCACCUUCCCUCUUCAUUGAAGAAACCCUAUAGCCCUGCUGCUGUUAGGACAGAGUGUAUGAUUGGAUUUAGUCUACUUUUCUAAUAGGUCUUUUCAGUAGUCUGAGCUUCAUGAUCCAGAUGCAGAAGACUGAGAGAAUGAAAUGUAAUAUUUUCCUGAAGCCCUUGGUACAGACCUGGGCAAGAACAGACUCAAGGAGAAUUCACAGCCUAGAGUCAAGCCAAGUCUUACGGUCCUAGCACUAAAGAGAUAAAAUAAUGGAUCACUUUGAGCUAGAGGCUAUCCUGGGCUACUUAGUGAGUUCCUGGGCCAUGGAUUGACACUCUGUCCCAAAGUAAAAGCAAAUCAGAGAAUGUCCAAACUCCUGGGGAUGGCUGACCACACCUUCCACACCCUUCUCUCAUCUUCCUCUCUUGUAGAUUCCUUUCUGCCCUUUACCUACUUGUUUGAACUCACCCAGUUACUUAAAUCUCAUUUUUAAAAUUUAAUUUAAAAAUUAAGGACUGGACUAGAAAGAUGGCUCAGGAGUUAAGAACACUGACUGCUCUUGCAAAGGUCCUUAGUUCAAUUUCCAGCAACUACAUGAUGUCUCACAACCAUCUGUAAUGGGAUCCAUUGCCAUCUUCUGGUGUGUCUGAAGACAGCUAUAGUGUACUC